GUGCUUGCUGUUUGUUGACUUUUUUGAACACAUCACAAGUUGUAAACUUUUAUUACAAAUUAAAAAUGAGGUUCUUAAAAAUCUCAACUUGACCAGAUGUGAAAUAAUUUAAAAACCUUUAAAGGUGUAUUGAGAAAAACCAGGCUUCUUCUUCUUCUUCUUUUUUUUUAAAACACGUUUGUCAUUACCA